GUGAAAAGGAAGGAGGGGGACCUCAUGCGGCAGCGUGUUGUGAGUGGAGAGUGGCAGCCAUCUGUCAAACCACACCCUGGAUUCCACUGGCCUUGGCUUGGACAGAAGAGUUAAGGUGGAAUGAUAGAGAACAGGUACAAGACAGGCAAUGGAGAUUUUCCUACAGUGUCCUGCCAAAGUGCCUCAGUCCUGCCCUGGUACAGGAAAGGAGGUCAAUCUCCAGGCCUGGUCAGACCUUGAUCUUGCUACUGAGACUGCCACCAGCUCAGCUGUGAUGGGCACCAGCUAUGAUAUGGGCACCUGUCUGUAAGGAACUACACUGAGAACAAAAACUCGUUUCAUACACAUCACCAAAAAGUCAUUAGAUGACAAUAAUUGCAGUUACUACCAACCUGGAUUAGAUCUGAACCAACAACCUAGGCUAUUACCAGUCCCCUGAGCUAUUCGCUACCCUUAAAUUUCUUCUUUCCCUGAUGUUGUAUUAUGUACCCUUGAAGUGAAUAUAUCAGAUUCCAAAUUUUUGUUCACAUAGGAAUGAGAAUACAUAUGAAUAAUUUCUCAACAUAUAUGAAAAUCUGUUAAAUAAAGAGCCUCUAUGUUGUAAUAACAUUAAAAUGUUGACAACUUCCUAGAAAAUAAUAAUCACAUUCUUUUUAACCUGUGCUCUUUGGAGGUUCCCUCUCAUCCCCUGGCUAGGACAAGUUUUGUUUUGGAUUGUGUAGAUAUACUGUCUGUAUUGUGCAGACCCAAAUAUUUGCUCAGAUUACCAAUUAAUUUGUCAGGAGAUAGUGUGAGAUUUCACACAAUGGGCUAAAUUGUCUGCUAAAGUAAAUUGUCUCAGAUCCGUUAAAAUAAAUGAAUCUGCUCCAAUUUACAUCCUCAGGGAAUAUGAGCCAUGAAUUCUUGAGAUAUGCCAACUGGUACCGGGGAGAAUGACCUACUUUGUUUUCAGAAACAAUGACAUUAACAAAACACAAAACAAGCUUUGCAUAAAGACAUGAAGGGCAUCAAAUGGCCAUCAAAAAAGGAACAUUUACUCUUUGAUCUGUAAGAUCUGUACAUAUGUUUUUAAAAUGCAUAUUUGACCUCUAUUGUGACUGUGACAAACAAAACACUUUUGCUCCUGUAAUUUACUACAUAAACCACAAUGGGCUUAAUAACGCUUUGGUCUGCGCUGUAUGUAUAUACACAAAAAUCAGGAAUAUGAUAUAUUCACUUCACCGGUACAUCCCAUCAUCACAAAUGAUUUUGUCUGAAUUAUUAUUUACAAAUCCUGAGCCCUAGAUAAUACUUUGUAUGCAGUGUUGUGUUUCACUGAGAGUACAUGUUUACAGCUCAGUUACAAAGCCCUAAGAAAAAAGAGUUUUCUUACCUAGACU